CCUACGGGUGGCAGCAGUGAGGAAUAUUGGUCAAUGGGCGGAAGCCUGAACCAGCCAAGUCGCGUGAGGGAAUAAGGCCCUACGGGUCGUAAACCUCUUUUGCCGGGGAGCAAGGGCGGGGACGUGUCCCGGCCCGGAGAGUACCCGGAGAAAAAGCAUCGGCUAACUCCGUGCCAGCAGCCGCGGUAAUACGGAGGAUGCGAGCGUUGUCCGGAAUCAUUGGGCGUAAAGAGUUCGUAGGCGGCACGUAAAGUCUGGUGUUAAAGGCAGAGGCUCAACUUCUGUACGGCACUGGAUACUUGCGAGCUAGAAUGCGGUAGAGGUAAAGGGAAUUCCUGGUGUAGCGGUGAAAUGCUUAGAUAUCAGGAGGAACAUCGGUGGCGUAAGCGCUUUACUGGGCCGUAAUUGACGCUGAGGAACGAAAGCCAGGGUAGCAAAUGGGAUUAGAUACCCGAGUAGUC
rnacentral:rRNA from 1 species